UUAUUUUAUAAUUUAAAGAAAAAUAUUAAAUUGCAAAUUUAAAAUUAUUUAUAUAUAAUAAAUUAAAAUA
rnacentral:tRNA from 1 species